UACGUAGGUGGCGAGCGCUGUCCGGAAUUACUGGGCGUAAAGCGCACGUAGGCGGCUUGGUAUGUCGGGUGUGAAAUCCCCGGGCUCAACCUGGGAACUGCAUCCGAAACUGCCUUGCUAGAGUAUGGGAGAGGGAAGUGGAAUUUCCGGUGUAGCGGUGAAAUGCGUAGAUAUCGGAAGGAACAUCAGUGGCGAAGGCGACUUCCUGGACCAAUACUGACGCUCAGGUGCGAAAGCGUGGGGAGCAAACAGG
rnacentral:rRNA from 1 species